UACAAAGGGAAUGGCCGCAUCGCUAUGCCGAAGUCUUGUUCAAGAACCGUAGUUUUGUGACAUCCUGUGUAUAACAAGCUGAAGUAGAAAAACCAUUUCUUUUGUUGGUCUCUUGGGGUAUAUGUAUAUUCACAAUCAGUCUCUUUCACACGGAUAUAUAAAACUGAUGAUUAAGAUUCCCCUCCCCGGACAUGCAAACAGAGGCAGGGACACUACGUUAAUACGACACAACACGAGUCCAAAUCCAAUCAAGUGGCUGGUAAUAUAUAUAUAUAUAUAUAUAUAAUGGAAUUUGUCCUCUCUAUAAAGAAAGAGCAAUUAACGCAUGAAUCAUGAUGAGGAACUUAACCCCACUAUUGAUUACUUUAGUUUCCCUUAAUUUAUUUAUUUAUUUGCUUUAACUGCAUGAUAUAUCUUUAUAUAUUCUCAUCCAUGAAAGGUUGUCGAAGGUGCCAAUACAAUACUGUAAGAUUCAGAGCCAUACAGGUUCUUUUUUUAUGGGUGAGAGCCAUAUAGGUUCAUACCUAAUCCUAAAAACAUCGAAGAUAAAGAACUUCUUGCCUGAACUUUUUCUGUUCUUUUGUAUUGCACACUUUUAUCUGGAUCCGUCCCCAUUAAUCUUCGGUUAUCGAGUUCGCGCUUCUGAUUCUGAAGGUGCUCUGAUAUGCAUUAAUAGGACACUAAAGCGAUACAUGACUAAGGUCUUAAUCCGGUUGUAGUUCGAUUAGAAUAGUGGGUAUUGCACUGUCGAGAUUUUCUAGGAAUGCUUAAAACCAAUGUGUAUAUCAGAAUAUUUUUCAUUAACAACCGAUAAACUUCUUGUAAAAUUCCAGAUGUCUGGGCUUGUUCUGAAUGAAGAGAGAGAGAGAGAGAAGAAGAUGAGCAUUAUACUUAAUUGGAUUUAUUCAGACCCCCCCGAUCCACCAACCAGCUGGCAAGAAACUUUAGGCUACCGUGGUCUAGCGUCGGCUGCUGCAACUUUAGUAAAAUUAAGUGAAAUAAUGUAAAAAAAUUCUUUCGAAACCAGCCUAAAUGUCACAAUCUGUCUAGUUCAGACGCAAUUGACAUGCAUGUGCUUGAGCAGUUGGAGUACAGUGACUUACCCUAGUACCUCUUGCAACUUUUUUGAUGCAUCACUUUUUCCUCUAUUGCUUUUGACUAUUCUCCUGCUUUCAGUUUAGAGUGAAAGAGAUCGCCAUUUGAGGAGAAAAGAAAUUAAUGUAUUUUGCUAGAAAUGUAGGGCUUGUUUGGGUCGUGGAUAAAAUUUUAGAAUUACAAUUUUAAUUUAAUUUUACUCAUAAUAAAAUAAAAUAAUUCAUACAAAUUCAAAGAGUGGGUCUCAUUUAUAUCAUUUUUUUCACAACAAAACAAAAUAAAUCAUACAAAGUCAAAGGGUGAGUUUUAUUUAUACCACUCUUUUUCAAAAUUAAAAUCUAAUUUUAAAAUUUUACUAUGAAACCAAACGCAACAAUAAUCUUUAGGUUUGGAUUUGAGGACAACUACUUUCAUGAACUAUAUUAAGUCUUUGAUAAUGCCAGACUGAUAAAGUCAGCGUUUAUGCCGGUGGUUUAGUUCGUCAAAUAGUUUGUCAGAUAGGCUCACAAUUGAACACGAGAUUGCGUAACGAGGACGGUAAGCUGCUGCCUUUCCCACCCUUUUAUUAGAGAAAGAGAGAAAAAGAGAAUAAAUUUAAGACGAUGAAGAAGAAAUCUCGUGAAGUUUUUUUUUGUCCCUCCCUUUUAACAGGAUUCGAGGAGAUCACGACAUCUUUCUUCAUUCAACAGCGCGAUGUCUUGUACCGCGCUUAAUCACUCGCGGGAACUUAUGUGAGUGGUGGGGGAUGAUAUCGGCAUCUCGCUCAACGUCAGGCUGUGCAUAGGCUAUGAGCUGGUGACCGUAUGAUCCGACUGCGGCAAGAGGCAAUGGUCGAGUUGACGUGAUGGCGAUGAUGGUGCUCUGCUCUUUCAUUGAUGUGUCUCGAGGCGCGAUUAUUCGAAAGAUAGAUGAGUUGGAAAGGGGCGAAUUCAAGAUUUUCGUUCAUGGGGCAAAAAUAUUACUUGAUAUAAAUAGUACAUAAAUUUUUUUUA